CUCACUGUAGUUUACUAUAAAACGUCGACUUGCAAAAUCGAAAAAGGAUAAAUAUCUCAGUGUGU
rnacentral:tRNA from 1 species